rnacentral:snRNA from 1 species
GUGCUUGCUUUGGCAGUAUAUAUACUAAAAUUGGAAUGAUACACAGAAGAUUAGCAUGGCCCCUGUGUAAGGAUGACACACAUUUGUGACACAUUCCAUAUUUUU